AACGCACCUUGCACCUUUUGGUAUUCCGAAAGGUAUGCCUGUUUGAGUGUCUUGAAACCUCACACUCGAGAGUUUUUUUUUCUUUCGAGAAGUGGAUUUGGGUGUUGCAAUUCUGCUCACCUUGAAUGCCUUAGUGAUUCCAACUGUAGCCUGAUGUAAUAAGUUUCAUCUGGUCAAGGGGAAGAUUGCUUCGAACGGCCUUUAUCGGCACUAUUUAAGACUAGACCUCAAAUCAGGUAGGACUACCCGCUGAACUUAA
rnacentral:misc_RNA from 1 species